GACGAACGCUGGCGGCGUGCCUAAUACAUGCAAGUCGAACGCAGUGGGGACGGGUGAGUAAAACGUGGGUAACCUGCCAUCAGAGGGGAUAACACUUGGAAACAGGUGCUAAACCGAUACUGAUGGAUGGACCCGCGGUGCAUGAGGUAGUUGGUGCGGUAACGGCUAACCAAGGCAACGAUUCAUAGCAGGCCUGUGAGGUGGAUCGGCCACACGGGGAAUGAGACAAGGCCCAGACUCCUACGGGAGGCAGCAGUAGGGAAGCUUCGGCAAUGGACGAAAGUCUGACCGAGCAACGCCGCGUUAGUGAAGAAGGUUUUCGGAGCGUAAAACUCUGUUGGUAGAGAAGCGGUAUCUAACCAGAAAGCAACGGCUAACUACGUGCCAGCAGCCGCGGUAAUAC
rnacentral:rRNA from 1 species